rfam:Gossypium raimondii Chr03_contig_9, whole genome shotgun sequence.
UGUUAAAAUUUCAUCCAUUUAUACUGUUUUAAAUAUACAUGGCUGACGAAAUAACCAAAUAGUGACACAUGACGUGCCACAUGUACUUCUUGCUGACAUACAUGAACCAGUUUUUAACCGUAGAAAUGGAUAGAUUUUUUAACA